UUAGAGGACUGAGAGGUUUUAUCUGAAAACUAAAACUUCUUGAUUUGAAAAAUGUUACUGUAGUCCUCCUCUGAUAUUACAACCUGAAUGCCUGCUGGCCCUGUUCUGCAAGGCUGAGGCUGCCUACCACCUUUGACACUAUGCCAUGAUCUUUCCUCUUUGAAGGGAGUGCUGGAAGUAGGGAAUCUCUCAAAGUGAUCUAUCAUCAGAAUUCUUGUUUAAAUGCUCAGUCUCGUUGAUAGAGAUCUGCCACAUGAAGCAGGACUGAUCUAUAACCUGAGCUAGUAGGUUCUACAGUAAUACAAAUGGUACAUGAUAAUUGUGUGUGAAGAAAGGCUGGCAGCUUUACAGAAGAAAUCUCUGAACCUGUAGGCACUCGUAUAUUUUUACUUAGCAAUAAGAACUAAUGUUACUCUGGUGGACAGUGUAAGCUGGAGUAAACAGUAGAUAUGAUGUAGAAGAUAACUAUCAGCUCCAGAGAGAAGCC